UAAGAGCGUGCAUCUUAGUUAGGCGUCCACACUUAUCGGUUUGUUUGAUGUUACAGCCAAGGGUCUGUAGCUCAGGUGGUUAGAGCACCGUCUUGAUAAGGCGGGGGUCGUAGGUUCAAGUCCUACCAGACCCACCAAGUUACGGGCGGCGGAGAGCGAUCUUGCCGUGAACUGGGGGAUUAGCUCAGCUGGGAGAGCACCUGCUUUGCAAGCAGGGGGUCGUCGGUUCGAUCCCGUCAUCCUCCACCAACACCUUGUGGUAGCCAAACGCAAGCAUCGAGAGAUCGGUGUUUGCGUUUGGCAUUGCCAAGACGAGUAGUAACUCGGCUGUUCUUUAACAAUAUGGAAUGUAGUAAAGGUGUCGCGGCGCGUUGAUGAGGCGCGCAAUUUAAACGCGACACUGGGUUGUGAUUGUAUCAACCAGUAUUACGAGUGAUCGAAAGACCGCUUGGAAUACGGCACAACGCGAGAACUCAGCCUAUAGCGAGACAUACUCGUUAUAGGGUCAAGCGAAUAAGUGCAUGUGGUGGAUGCCUUGGCGAUCACAGGCGAUGAAGGACGUAGUAGCUUGCGAAAAGCUGCGGGGAGCUGGCAAACGAGCUUUG
rnacentral:misc_RNA from 1 species